GCUUAAGAGAAAAACAGUGCAACUUAGUUGAAAAUUCUAGCAGCUGGUAUUUGCCUUUCAAUUUGGAGAUGGACUACAAAUAGUUUAAGAAAGGAAAGAGCAUGCCCAAGAGUACAAGUGAGCCAGUGAGCUGAGGGACUAGUCCUCAUAGCAUGGGCCGUGCAUCACUCAGACAUCCCUCCCCUCCCUCACUGGCUUGCUGCCUUACAGCCCCACCUCAGCCCCGCCUCUGCCCCGCCUCUGCUGUUUAUAUUCCCCAUGCUGUGUUUGCUGCAGGCUUUAUCCCAUGCUGCCUGUCGGUCCUCCUCUGCAACUGGCUACUUUCCGAUGUUAAUCUUGCUUUAGCUUUUUCAGUUUCUACUCUCCUGUCUCACUGAAAGAAGAAAAAGGCCGAAGUGCUGGCGCCAACAAGAAGCAGUGGGAAGUUGUCUCCAGGAAGCAGAUUCUGCACAGUUUUGACAACUUUUCAUACUCCCUUGUAAGAGAGAAACUACAGUAGAGCUAAUGAUCUUGUCAGUGAUGAACAGGGCCACACCUUGACCUGGACUCCUCAACUCUGCCCGCCUCUUGCUUCCUAUUUUUGUUGUGGAGUUCUCGUGUAGAGAGAUGGGACAUGCAGCCUUUCUGCCAGGAAACAGCAUUAUCCGUGGUGGCAAGGCGGCAGAGGUUCACAGGAUUCACAUCCAAAGGCUGAGCACAGCAGGGCGUGCAUCCUUGCAUAGCCUUCCUGAAUUUCCCUUUACAUUUUAGUCUUUUUGUAUCCUUUCUAUGGUAACAUACGUUCUGACUCAGAUCUUUGUCACAGUGUAGAUAUUAAUUAUGGCAGUCGCCCUCCUUUUGUUUCUAGAAAGGCCCUUAUCACAUUUGACAGGGACCUGGAGAAGGCCUGGAGGUAGAACACUGGACCUUUUCCUUUGCAACUUUUAUCAAUAUGGCCACUUGGAACCAAUCUUAAUUUUCACUAUUACCUGUCUCUUGAAUUCAUCUUUUGAGGACAGACACCCAGCACAGCUUGGUACAGCUGCCAGAGCCUGCAUGCAGUCUGACUACUGGUAAUAAUUUUUGGCCAAGUUGGGACCAGAAGAAAACACCCAUUUGGGGUGUCAGCCACUAGCCAGAAGUUGGCCCAGAAUGGAGGAGAGCGACUGAGUGACCCAGAUAAUUUCUGAAGUCAUUUUACUUCAGGAACUUCUUCCUCCCACUCCAACCAGAGUCAUCUGGUUUUUACCUCAAUUUGAUGAAACAGAAAAAUGAGUAGUUGAACUUUGUUUUUGCACUCCUAAGAAACUGACUCUAGAGUUUUUCUGAGCCACCGAACUUUUGUUGAACCUUCUAGGCUAUUGCAUCAUUUCUAGGUCAGGCCUUGACAAUGUGGAAGAUGCAGAUUAUCUGCUUGCAUACCAAGCCUGGAGGCCAUCAACAUCACCAGUUGCAAGAGGAGGCUCAGCAAGGGCUCAUCCUGUGUCCCGGGCAGACAGAUUCAGCAUUGCCUCUUAAUGGAAUUCUAAUCUCAAGACUCUGGCCUCCGUUCUUUUUGUUCUCAUGUUGGCUACCUUCUGCAGAUUUGUAAAGUUGCCCAGAGCUGUGCAUUCAUGCCCUAGGCGUUUAAUAAAUGGAAAGUUUCUCCCUGUUCCCUCUCCUAGAUCAUGUUCAGAAAAGCAUUAGGGUUGCUUCCUACACCUGGACUCAUCUCUGCCCUUGUCAGUCCACCCUCUAGGCCUCCACUGUUAGAAACAGGGUCAUCUCAGCAUAGGAUGCAACUGAGAAAUGGUUGAGCUAUGAAAUUCAAGCUUGUUUCAUCCAGAUCCAGCAAUGCACACACACACACACACACACACACACACACACACACACACGCACACAACUGCUAUCUAGACAGUGGCACAUGAGCUAUUGGGUGGCUGGUAUAAGUGCCUCAGUGAACACGGGUCUAGGUUCGCUAGUAUCAAUUGGUACCCUGGUUUCAAGGUCAAAUAAAGCACAUUGAAUUAGUGUGGUAUUUGGAAUCUUGGUAUAGUGUAAUAUGUUACUCCAAGAGCCAUUUUGAUCACAAGCACAUGGUGUCCAUGGGCCUGUGGGACACCUGCCUGGGCUCCACUCAGUAUGUCAUCUGAAUUACAGGACCACCAUGAUCAGCUCUGGUGAUUGCACUUCCCAUCUCUCCUCCACUGUGAUCUUGUUAGAAUAGAAAUAAAGGUCCAUCCUAGUUCGGCAGGUCAAUCACCUGGCUAAAGACCACAUGGAGGGAGGUCAUGCUAAAGAGGUAGGCAGAAUACUCAUUUCUUUAAUGGGACAGUUUACUUUUCCUUCCCAUAACCCCUGCCCCUAGCGGAGCAGCUUGCUGGGCUGCAGCCAUACGGCUUUGUAAGUCUGUGAACUUUUCUAAACUAUUCAGGAAAGUACAACUUAUCUUUAUCUUCCUCCUAUUUCUCAUCUAAGCAUUAUUUUGCUAAUGCUCUGGGCUGCCCCAACAUUUGGGGCUUCCUUGCUCUUUUUCUAAAACUCCCCUCUCUGUCCACACUGUGUCUGACCUUCAUGCUGGCGUGAACAGUGUGGCUUGGAGCCCUUCUCCCUCCAUUCUUUCCCCUGGGCAGUUGCUGAAACCUACAGCUUGCCUAUCCUGGGGGUUUCCUUUUAAGCCUCUAUAAAAAUUCACCACCUACUUCCAUUUCUGUCCAUUCUUAAGUUCUCUACUAAUAGACUAAGAAUCCCAAGAAAGAGUUCCAGUUUCCCCUGUGUCUGCUGGUGACCACAAAAAGACUCUGAGAUCCUGCUAAUAAUUGGUAUAAGCAUGAAAAGCCUGCUUGGACUCUGUUGGUGAUCUCCAGUGAGAGUCCUAGCUAACCAGCCAGAAACGGCCUCUCUCUGUAAACCUUCAACUGCCUCUAGAGGCUGACAGGGUAAAAUCUCAUCUGCCCCCAGAGGCACUGAAGACAGCAUGGUUGCAAACCUCUGGACACUUCACAUUUUGUUAAUAACCUUAGUUAUUAAUAACUAAUUUAUAUCAGUUCACUUUUUAGUCAGCUUUUGCUGAGGUAAAGUCCUCUGUAAUCAGUUUUUCUUCAGUCUCAAAUUCUACAGUUAAACCCUCUAUACUUGGGGGGGUUAAUAUUGUUUUUUUGUUUUGUUUCCUGUUGGGGGGGUCACAAGGGUCCAGGCGGACACAAAAAAGUAGUGGGAGGUGGGUGUGAUCAGGGUAUAUGAUGUGAAAUUCCCAAAGAAUCAAUAAAAAAAAUAUGUUGAAAAGAAGGAAGAGAAAAACCAUAAGCAACAGCUCCUGUAAUCAAUGCAGUCCAAACGCUGUCCCGCAAACAGACAGACACUCACACAGACACACAGACACACAGACACAUACACACUCAGACAUGACCAGUGUAAUUUUGGUGCAUUUAUAAUAAGCUCAUGAAUAAGAUGCAGAGGUCCUGAGUUCAAAUCCCAGCCACCACAGGGUGGCUCACAACCAUCUGUAAU